GUGGCUUGAAGGUCUUUUUAAAUUGUUGUUGUUAUGUUUUUAUUUUAUUUUACUUUAUUUUUAAAUAGAGAUGAGGUCUUGCUAUGUUGUCCAGGCUGGUCUCAAACUCCUGGGCUCAAGCAGCUCGCCUGUCUUGGCCUCCCAAAGUGCAGGGAUUGCAGAUGUGAGCCACCAUGCUUGGCCCUUGCUAUAUUUUAAAUAGUUAAAAAUACUGUUUUUGUUUUUUUGUUUUUCCUUGCUGAAUACUUGGGAAAAUUGGUUUGUGUCUGUGGCAAAGGAAUUCAACAAUACUUUCAUUUUCAGGUCAGACUAUUUUAAGAAAAUAGAAGACUAUCAUUUACAGCUGGUAUGGCCCUGUGGUGGUGUGGACCCAGACUUCAAACACAGAUGAAGAUCGAAAACUGAUAUCCCGCAUCUGAUAUCAAAAGUUGAAGAAAGUGAACAAAAACAGCAGAGGAAAGUUCAUAAAAGCAGGAUGAGUUGCAGAAAAACUCCUCAGACACCGGAUUAAAGAAGGAAGAGGUUUUUUAUUUGUCCGGGAGCGUCGGCAGACUCGCGUCUUAAGAGCCGAGCUCCCCGAAAAAGAAAUUCCUAGCCCUUUUAAGGCCUUACAACUCUAAGGAGUCUACGUGAAAGAGUCAUAAUAGAUCAAACAAAUUAAGAAUUCAGAGCCCAAUCCUAACUUCAAGCCAAGAAGUAAAAAAAGGAAGAAAAAAUCAAGACGCUCAGAACAGAACUCCAGCAAUAUUGAACCCAGGUAAUGAAACUAGAUAUGUGUUGUGUGUCAUGUCACAUUGAGAUCUAUGGUAGGAAAGUUUCUUGUUAGACGGAAGUAAAAUAUGACUAGUAGACAGAGCUUCACUGUGUUGCCCAGGCUAGAGGGUAGUGGCGUGAUCAAGGCUCACUGCAGACUCAACCUCCUAGGCUCAAGUAUAUUCUCCUCAGCUUCCAGUAUAUUCUCCUGCAAGAACAUACCACCCCACACCUGGCUAAUUUUAAAAUGUUUUGUAGAGACAGGGUCCCACUAUGUUGUUCAGGCUGGUCUCAAACUCCUGGCCUUAAGUGAUCCUCCUGCCUCAGCCUCCCAAAGUGCUGGGAUUAUAGGCAUGAGCCACCACAUCUAGCCACAAAACUUGUUUAGAGAAAAAAUUGUUAUGAUGAUGUGAAUAAUUGGGUCCACAAUAUUUCCUUUUAGAAAGAAAAUUGGCCAGGCGCGGUGGCUCACGCCUGUAAUCCUAGCACUUUGGAAGGUCGAGGUGGGCAGAUCACCUGAAGUCGGGAGUUCGAGACCAGCCUGACCAACAUGGAGAAACCCCGUCUCUACUCAAAAUACAAAAAAUUAGCCGGGC
rnacentral:lncRNA from 1 species